UACGAAGGGGGCUAGCGUUGUUCGGAAUCACUGGGCGUAAAGCGCACGUAGGCGGAUGUGUCAGUCAGGGGUGAAAUCCCGGGGCUCAACCUCGGAACUGCCUCUGAUACAGCACAUCUUGAGUCCGGAAGAGGUGGGUGGAAUUCCUAGUGUAGAGGUGAAAUUCGUAGAUAUUAGGAAGAACACCGGUGGCGAAGGCGGCCCACUGGUCCGGUACUGACGCUGAGGUGCGAAAGCGUGGGGAGCAAACAUG
rnacentral:rRNA from 1 species